AAAUAAACCUUUUAAAGUUGCUUCUUGUCGGAAAUUUUGGUUAUUAAAGCAAGAGAAGAUUACAGUCCUCGGACCUUUCCGACUUGGAGCGCCGUCUCUAGUUCUUUUGAUUUUUUAUUUUCCUGGCCUGGGUUUUAAUUUUCCCCAGCUUUGCUUAUUUGGAUCUAAUGGACAAAAUGGUGCAUGUGUGAAGUACAUGACACAGUGUUUGGGGCGGCGGAGAUUGUUCAGUCUGUGGAAUGCUUGCUUGCCUUGGACUUGAGAGCCGGGUCCACAGAAAUCUCGUAAAAUAGCGGAGUGUGGUGACUCGUGUUUGCAAACACAGCUGGGAGGAAGAGGCAGGCCGAUUCCCGGGGCCACUCGGCCGGCCAGUCUACCCUCCUCAGUGAGUUCCAGGACAGUGAGAAGCCUUGUGUGGAAGGGAGGAGGCUGCCGUAGGAAAGAUCUGGUCACACGUCCGCUGAGACAGGACAGCAGGAGGAGGAAGGCACAAUGUCUCGGUGAGAUGACCACAAUGCCUCGGUGAGAUGACCACGGAGCCACGAAUUUGUUUUCUUCUACCUGGAUUCAGCUUGUACUUCAACUUUGCAUCCAGGUUUCUAGAGAAAUCACCACUGCUCUUCCUUUGCCGUUUGGUGCUGCUUGGGGGUGACCAAUGAGACUGGCAGGCUCCCCAGACAUUUAUACACUAGUUCCCCAAGUGAGUCCCGAAAGCCAAGGCUGUCUCUGGUCACAUUAGAAGAAAAAGGAGGAAAUAAAAUGGUUAUUGUGCAAUGAUAUUAAGAGGUGGGUGAGAAGGGGCUGGAGAGAUGACUCAGUGAUUAAGAGCACUACCAGAGGAUCUGAGUUCGAUUCCUACCACCUUCGUGGAGUCUCACAACCUUCUGUAACUCCAGUUACAAAGGAUAUAAUGACCCCUUCUGGUCUCUGAGGGCACCAGGUACACAGGGUUCACAGACAUACAUGCAGACAAAAUACCCAUGCACAUACACUUGAAAGAUGUUUUUAAGAGGCGGACUUAGUAGAGCUGGUCCUCUGAGCUUAGCCUGACCAUCACCAUCUUGGGACAGGAGCUGCCACGGUGACUGAGCAGAGACCCCAGCUUGCAGCUGGAACGUAGCAGGUAGCAGAACUUUAACAAAAUUGAGGGGAUAAUUGAUACUGAGUCUGUUGGCACUUUUCUCUUGGGGACAAGGGAGACAACUAUAGAAAACUGCCCUGCUAGAAUCCAUUAGCCACCACCCCUCCUGGCUUGCUGCCAUAGACAGAUACCUAAGGCUCCCUAAGUGCAUGUAAAAGAAAACAGUUAACCAGGGUGGUGGGACUCGGGGCAGCUGCCUAAGGUAAUGUCCAAUAAUCUGUACACUGCCUUGAGUUAAAUUCAUUUCUCAUGGCUGAGUCAUUCUUUGAGUGGUUGGUAUUGUCCAGAUUUGGAGAUAGACAACUUUUUCAUCUCCCAAGAAAUCCAUAUGACAUUUGGUACCCGACGAUGAAUGUGGUGUGCUGUGUGUGAUGGGAACACCCUGUCAUAGUUUAGUUUCUGUUUUUAUUAAAUAUUCCAACAGGAAGCAGCCUGUGGGAGGAAGGAUUUUAUUCAGCUUAUAAUUCCAGGGUACAGUCCAUCAGGAAGUCAAGUCAGCGGGAACUCAGAACAGCCAUGUCACACAGUCAGAAGCUGCGAGAAAUGAAUGCACACAGAUGUGCUUGCUUGCUCAGCUGAAUUUCUCCACCCAUGGAGUUCAGGACUCCCUGCCUAGGGAAUAGUGUGCCCCACAGUAGCCUGGGUCUUCCCAGAUCAGUUAAUUACAACAGUCUCCCACUGACAGUCCCUCCCUGAGACUCUUCCCAUGUAAUUCUAGGUUGUGUUUAGUUGACAAAGCUAGAUCAACACUCCGAGUUCCUGCUGGACUGGGGAACUUGUGGUCCCUGAAUGUCGCUGUUUGGGGAGGCCUGCAGUGAGGUGUAGCCGUGGUAGCACGUACCUACGAUGGGGAGUCAGAUAUGCGGCUGAGGACAAACCGUUGCCUGAAGGAGGAACUCUGGCUAGAAGGGGACUUAUGGCCAACAUUAUCUGCUUGAUCAUCAGAUGAGGCAUAAGAAUUAAAAAGAGGAAGAUAAAGAUGCUAGCUGGCAUAGUCUAUAGCUGGUAGUGUGAAAAGACAAGAGUUCAAGUCCAUUCAGGGCUAAAGAGUUUAUCCUGGGAUCCAAAAAUCAUGGACCCCUUGGGAAAGAGAGAUACAUGCAGUGGGGAGCUAGGGACAGGAAGAGGAGAAGAUGAUUGAGAAGUUGAACUCUUAAUUGAAAGAAGAGAAAUAUCUAUAAUCCAGCAUGCAGAUAGGGAAAAUUUGGCAACCCCAAAGUAUCCACUUCUGAUCUAUUAAGAUUAUGGGAAGCUGGGCGGUGGUGGCACACACCUUUGUUUCCAGCACUCGGGAGGCAGAGGUGGGCAGAUAUCAGAGUUUGAGACCAGACCAACAGAGUGAGUUCCAGGACAGCCAGGGCUACACAGAGAAAUUCUGUCUUGAAAAACCAAGGGGGAAAAAGGUCAUGGGGAAACUUGUAUGCAGUUCAUGGGAAACCCUGGUAGUGUGUCUGCAGGAUGUGGGAGUGUGUGGUGUGAGCUGGAGUGCUGUGGAGGAGGUUAUAUUACCCCCAUACAUCCCUCUCACCAUGUCCUGGUUAACGUUAAGUGCCAACUUGUCACAACCCAGAAUUACUGGGCAAGAGAAUCUCAACUGAGGAAUUACCUACAUUGACCUGUGGAAUGUCUGGGGAUUUUCUUGAUUGUUAAUUGAUGUAGGAGGGCUCAGCCCAUUGUGGAAAGCACCAUUCCCUAGGAGGGAAGUCCCAGGCUGUAUAAGAAGGCUAGCUGGGCAUAGUAAGCUGCUGGGGGAUGUCUUUCUGUACGCUGUGAAUAUAUGUUGUUCCCAUUGGUUAAUAAAUAAGCUGCUUUGACCUAUGGCAAGGCAGCUUAGAAGCGGUAGGAAAAUCCAAGAGAGACAGGAAAGAAAAAGGCAGAGUCUGGAGAGACACAGCCUGCCGUCCAAGUAGUAACAUGCCAGCAGAUCGGUAAAGCCAGGGAACGUGGCAAAACAUAAAUUAAUAGAAAUGGGUUAAUUUAAGAUACAAGAGCUAGCUAGCAAGAGGCCUUCCAGAGGCCAUACAGUUUAUAAAUAAUAUUAAGCCUCUGAGAGAUUAUUUUGUAAGAGGCUGCGGGACCUUGGGGCGCAGCAGGACCAGAGAAAACUUUCAGCUACGGAAAGCAACAUCUUCCGUGGUCCCUGCCAGCUUCUCUGGCUGUAAGGUGAGUUCCUUUGUUGUAACAUGUAGAAUAGCAAGCAGGCACCAUAUGGAUGCGUUCGUUUCUCUCUGCCUCGACUGUGGAAGUGAUGUGGGCAGUUGUCUCAGCUGCUGCCACUGUGACUCCCUUAGUGACGGACUGUCUGUCCCCUGGAACUGAAGCCCAAUAAACCUUCCAGUCCCUGCACUCUUUUUUGGAUAAAGUGUUUUGUCACAGCAACAGAAAGGGAACUAAGACACAUUGCUAGUGUGACAUACAGGAGCAUGAGGGACAUCAGUCAUGUAAGACCUCUUAAAUCCUGGGUCUUGACUCUGCAUUGUGUGACCAGUGUGGUGGGUCAUGAACAAUAGUGAAAGAUCUUAGAAUGCACAAAGACCAAAGCUUAAUUCAGAUUCCAAAGUGGUGCAUUUAAGAUGUUUCUGGCCAUGCACACUCUGGCUUUGUCACAUGACUUAACGGCAGCCUUCUUUCUGAACACACUGUGCACUCUGGAUGUUGCCCUUGGAUCGUGCCACUCUGCAUACCAGGGAACAAUGCUUGAAAUUCCUCAGCUCAGGUUUGAGGCUACUGCAUGGUAGGAAUGGCAGUGUGUAAUUGUACAUGAAGUUUUGUGCUCUUAUGGAGACGUGGUUUAAUUACCAAAAAUAAAGACUUGAUAUGUUUCUCACA